rnacentral:ribozyme from 1 species
GUCGCUCGGAACUUUGCAUACCUCUGCGUGGUGGGCGGCAGGCAACGCAACAUAGAUGCUGUGGCUAAGAUGCGAAG